CGUCAGGAUGAACGCUAGCGGCAGGCCUAAUACAUGCAAGUCGAACGAUAGUUGGGGCUUGCCCCCAACGAAAAAGUGGCGCACGGGUGCGUAACGCGUAUGCAACCUACCUUCAUCUGGGGGAUAGCCCGGAGAAAUCCGGAUUAAUACCGCAUAAAAUCACAGAAUGGCAUUAUUCAAUGAUCAAACAUUUAUGGGAUGGAGAUGGGCAUGCGUGUCAUUAGCUAGUUGGCGGGGUAACGGCCCACCAAGGCGACGAUGACUAGGGGAUCUGAGAGGAUGGCCCCCCACACUGGUACUGAGACACGGACCAGACUCCUACGGGAGGCAGCAGUAAGGAAUAUUGGUCAAUGGGGGCAACCCUGAACCAGCCAUGCCGCGUGCAGGAAGACAGCCCUAUGGGUCGUAAACUGCUUUUACCCGGGAAUAAACCCCACUACGUGUAGUGGGCUGAACGUACCGGGGGAAUAAGGAUCGGCUAACUCCGUGCCAGCAGCCGCGGUAAUACGGAGGAUCCAAGCGUUAUCCGGAUUUAUUGGGUUUAAAGGGUGCGUAGGCGGCCCGUUAAGUCAGGGGUGAAAGACGGUAGCUCAACUAUCGCAGUGCCCUUGAUACUGAUGGGCUUGAAUGGACUAGAGGUAGGCGGAAUGAGACAAGUAGCGGUGAAAUGCAUAGAUAUGUCUCAGAACACCGAUUGCGAAGGCAGCUUACUAUGGUUCUAUUGACGCUGAGGCACGAAAGCGUGGGGAUCAAACAGGAUUAGAUACCCUGGUAGUCCACGCCCUAAACGAUGAACACUCGCUGUUGGCGAUACACAGUCAGCGGCUAAGCGAAAGCGUUAAGUGUUCCACCUGGGGAGUACGGUCGCAAGAUUGAAACUCAAAGGAAUUGACGGGGGCCCGCACAAGCGGAGGAGCAUGUGGUUUAAUUCGAUGAUACGCGAGGAACCUUACCCGGGCUUGAAAGUUAGUGAAGCAUCCAGAGAUGGAUGCGUCCGCAAGGACACGAAACUAGGUGCUGCAUGGCUGUCGUCAGCUCGUGCCGUGAGGUGUUGGGUUAAGUCCCGCAACGAGCGCAACCCCUAUGUCUAGUUGCCAGCACGUUAUGGUGGGGACUCUAGACAGACUGCCUGUGCAAACAGAGAGGAAGGAGGGGACGACGUCAAGUCAUCAUGGCCCUUACGUCCGGGGCUACACACGUGCUACAAUGGACGGUACAGAGGGCAGCUACAUAGCAAUAUGGUGCGAAUCUCACAAAGCCGUUCACAGUUCGGAUUGGGGUCUGCAACUCGACCCCAUGAAGUUGGAUUCGCUAGUAAUCGCGUAUCAGCAAUGACGCGGUGAAUACGUUCCCGGGCCUUGUACACACCGCCCGUCAAGCCAUGGAAGUUGGGGGUACCUAAAGUAUGUAACCGCAAGGAGCGUCCUAGGGUAAAACCGAUAACUGGGGCUAAGUCA
rnacentral:rRNA from 2 species